AGUGAACGCUGGCGGUAGGCCUAACACAUGCAAGUCGAACGGCAGCACAGUAAGCGCUUGCUCUUACGGGUGGCGAGUGGCGGACGGGUGAGGCAUACAUCGGAAUCUACUUUUUCGUGGGGGAUAACGUAGGGACACUUACGCUAAUACCGCAUACGACCUACGGGUGAAAGCAGGGGAUCUUCGGACCUUGCGCGAUUGAAUGAGCCGAUGUCGGAUUAGCUAGUUGGCGGGGUAAAGGCCCACCAAGGCGACGAUCCGUAGCUGGUCUGAGAGGAUGAUCAGCCACACUGGAACUGAGACACGGUCCAGACUCCUACGGGAGGCAGCAGUGGGGAAUAUUGGACAAUGGGCGCAAGCCUGAUCCAGCCAUGCCGCGUGGGUGAAGAAGGCCUUCGGGUUGUAAAGCCCUUUUGUUGGGAAAGAAAAGCAGCAGAUUAAUCCCCCGCUGUUCUGACGGUACCCAAAGAAUAAGCCCCGGCUAACUUCGUG
rnacentral:rRNA from 1 species